AUGAUUUCUUCGAACCAUCAUAUUUACACUUAAUCCACAAGUCUCUUCUCCCCCUUUACGAUAUUCCUUUUUCUGAUCAAUCAAGAUAAACGAAAAGCAAGCACGGACACCUUGAUGCAGCAGCAACCACCUGCGAAGAAAAUAGCAACUGAGAGUGCAAUAGGUAUGAUGCCAAUAAAUUCCAUGCAAACUGAUUUACAAGGGGCAGUUAGCGGCUUUUCUACCACCGUAGGAGGUUCCAAUAUCGGUGUAUCAUCAAUGUCACGGCCGUUAUCAAACGAUAACAUGCUAGGAAGGGAGGUUGGGGGUCGAGUUUCAAAGACAUCAACCGUUCUAGCUCAGGCUUGGAAGGAAGACACAGACCCGGGGAACUUGUUAGCAUCAUUAUUUGAACUUUUUGGUGAAAGUAUGUUAUCAUUUACUCCCAAACCUGAGCUUUCAUUCUUCCUUUGAUUAAAUUUCACCUCCAAAAGCUAUGGUUUUUGAAGGAAUUUGUGUAAAUUAUCCCCAUAGUUUUUUUCAGUCUUACUGUGUUUAUCUUUAUAAGGCUUCUUUUUUUCCUUGCUCAUAAAUGUAUUGUAGUUAUCAAAAAAUAUAUUCUACUUUGGAUUUUAUUGAUAUUAAAUUUUGGGUUAAAUUCUACUAUUAGUCUCUGUACUUUACUGAAAUGAUGGAUUUAGUCCUUAUACCUUAAUUUGAUCAAUUUUAGCCGUUGUAUUUUUUGAAUUGGUCAAUUUUAAACCAUUUACUUUUUGAAUUUUGAAAUUUUAGUCUUGAUUCAAAUAAUAAUAAUAAUAAUAAUUAAAUCUGUUAUUUAAAUUUAAUUAUUAGUUUUGUACUAUGUAGAAAAUUAUAGAUUUAAUCCAUAUUUUUCAAUUGGGUCAUUCCAAGUCUUUAUACUUUUCAAAUUUUGAAAUUUAAAUAUUGAUGCAGAAUGCGAGUUGUUAUUAAUUAAUUGAUUUUUUUAGCAAGUACAUGUAGAAAUAAUAAGUUGGUAUGUCAUUAUACUUAAAAUAAUAUAUUGGCUUAACCCUCUUAAAUUAUGUCUUUUUUUUCAUCUUGGGACCUAAAUUUUUUUGGGGUCAUAAGUGGUACCUAAAUUACUUUUUUUCUCCUUCAAAUUAAUAUCUGCAUUAGUUAAACCGUUAAGUCUAUUUAAAAAAGAAAGACUCGAACAACAAAUUAAUACCUAAACAAUGCUCUUUUUCCCAAGGUACCUAAUUUUUGUUUUGGCCAUAAGUACUACUAAAACUAUUCUUACAUUACUCAUUUUACGCCAAAAUGUUAUAUCGGCUAAAAAGAUUCCUACAAAUAAUAGAUUGUAUGUCAUAUAAACUUUUAAAAAUAAUUAUUAAUUAAUUAUUUUUUUUAUAUUUUUCUUUCUUAUUCCUUUAUAAUGUUUGACAAUGCCGAAAAUGUUUGAAAUUGUCCCACUUGAGGUCGAAACGCUGGCGAUUAAUUUUGGUUUUGAAUUUCACCACCUACUUCUCUGACCUGAGGGGAUAGAAAAAGUUCUUUCAUCGAUCAAAACUAGUGUUUUCAAAGACAGACUGAUUCAACUGGUUGGAUAGGAAAUCGGUUCGGAAAUAGGGGUUGAAUCGAUUGACUUGCGAACAAAAACAAAUCAGUUGAACUAAGCUAAAAAAACUGGUUGAACUAGUUCUCCCUAUUUAUAUAUAUAUUUAAAUAAUAAUAGUCUUUUUUUUACUACGUGUCAAAUUUUAAUUGGUUAAAUUUUUUUUUCAUAUAAAUUGAAAGGUUUGACUGAUGACGGAGGUACCAAAUUAUAGUCUAGGUACCAAUUUAUGGGUUAAGCCUAUUUCUAAAAUAGACUUUUGAUAGUUUGACUAAUGGCGGCAGUAACUUGGGAAAAAAAAGUAGUUUAUGUACUACUUGUGACCAAAAAUAAGUUUAGGUACCAACAUGGGAAAAUGAGUAUAAUUUAGAUACCGAUUUAUGAGUUAAGCUUAAUAUAUUUGUUGCAUCAUUUUUUGAAAAUAAUAGAACUUAAUAAAUUUAACGGUUAUUGUUUGGUGAUGACUAAAAUUUUAAAAUUUGAAAAGUACAUGAACUAAAAAUGACCAAAUUAAAGUAUAAAGAUUAAGUCCACAACUUUUGCAAAGUACAAGGACUAAUAGUAGAAAUUAACCUAAAUUUCAUAUGGGUCAAUUGCAAAAAUAAUCACUAAACUAUUCCUUUGGUUCUAUUCUAGUCACUCAACUAUAGAGGUGCUCAUGAGCCGGGCCAGGUCAGGCCUAAGCAUGAUAUUAACGUACUUUAUGCUUGCUCAAGCUUGGCUCGGCCCGAAAUAUGAGCUUAAAAUUUCGCCUAAACUCAUCCAUAUUUGCAAAAGACUAACCCAAGUUCAUUUUAGGCAUGCGCAUAUAAUUUUUAGUUUUUUUAAAUAUUUAUAUUAUAUUAUUUAAAUAUUUAAUACUUUUAAUAUUUUUUAUUUAUUGAAAAUUUUUAUAUGGUCAUCUUAACAUUAUUUUAAUGUUUACAUUAUAGUAUUAUUAUAUAUUUAGUAUAAGUUUUUUUAAUCUAUUCUAAAUUAUAUAAUAUAAAGUAUUAUACACUUAAAAACGGGUUGGGCUGGGCUCGGGCUUUGAAUGUUCAAGCCUGAACCCAGCCCAUAUUUUAAACGAGCCUAAUUUUUUUUACCCAAACCCAAUUUUCGGGCAUAAUAUUUUUACCUAGACCCUUCCAAAUUUUAGGCGGCCCUUGGGCAUUGGCAAGUAGCCCAACUCAUGAACAAGUUUACUCAACUAUUAAUUUUUUCGGUUUAGUUGUUAACCUUUCGAAAGUAAAUAUUUUAGUCACUCUCCUGUUAGCUAUUGUUAAAUGAGUGACGGAAAGCUGAUGUGGGCUUUUUUUAUUAGUCUAAUAACAAAUUUAGCCCUUCAAUAUUUACACAUUCUAUCAAUUUGAUCCUAAAUAUAAAAAAAAUCAACAAAUUUAGCCCUGAAUGUUAACAAAACUUGUCAUUUUAGUUCAAAUUCUAAAAAAUUUAAUAAAUUUAACCCUUAACAUUUUCAAAAAUUAGCAAUUUAGUUCUAAUUCUAAAAAUUUUAAUAUAUAUUUAAAAAAAUAUUUUUAAUCCUCAAUCUCACCCUUUGAUUUUUUAGAUGAGCUAAAAUCAAAAUAUAUCAUUAUGUCAUUUUGUUUUAAUGCUAAAAGAGAUAAAAAAAAAUAAAAAGCUAAAAUGACUUUUCGUUUGUAAAGUUAAAAAAGGUUAAAUAAAUCAUUAUGUCUUUUUAGUUUUAAUUUUUUACUUGAUUAAAAGAGAAAUAAUUAACAAAUGAAAAAUAAUUAUUUCUAAAUAAAUUUAUCAAAAUUUAUAACAAAUGAGAUUUUAGAUUUGAAUUAUGAGGUUAUAUAUACACAUUUUUAUGAAAUACAAGAUUUUGCUAAAAGAAAAAACAUCCAAUUUAAGGACUAUAAACAUCCAAUUUAAGGACUAUAAACAUCCAAUGUAAAAGAAAAAAAAGACAGUAACACCAAUGUUGUGGUAUUAUUUGUUGCCUAUAAAUACCAUUCCUAUCCUUCAUCUUCCUCUACCAACAUAACAUGGCCUCCUAUCUCUUUCUCUGCCUCUUCCUCUUCUUUCCCCAUCUUUAUGCUUCUUUCUCUUCUUCAGGAUCUCACUCCUGCUCUUCAUUAAUCCAGUUUAAGGACUCUUUUUCCAUCAAUCAGAAGAGGAUGCUUAUUUGUCUUGCGGCUCUAAAUCUUAUCCCAAGACAAAUUCAUGGAAGGAGGGUACAGAUUGCUGCUCAUGGGAUGGGGUCACUUGUGACCACCUAAAUGCUCAUGUUAUUGCCCUUGACUUGAGCUGCUGUUGGCUAUAUGGCAACUUCCCUUCCAAUACCACUCUCUUUCUUCUUCCUCACCUUCAAAAACUCAACCUUGCCUACAAUGACUUUAAUCUUUCCAAAAUUCCAUCCGAGUUCAGUCGGUUUACAAGCCUAUUCUACCUCAACCUUUCUUAUACAGAAUUUGCAGGAGAAGUCCCAUCCCAAGUCUCCCACCUGUCAAAAUUGGUUUCACUUGAUCUCUCCGGUCCGGCUUAUGAAAGAACAAUUGACAAACAUGCUCUGGAGGGACUUGUUCACAACCUAACCGAGGUCAGGCAUCUGUUUUUGGAUGGAAUCAACAUGUCUUCUGUUAAUGCUCAUGUCUUUAUGAAUCUAUCCUCUUCUCUAAGGUCUCUCAGUCUUGCUGGUUGUGGUUUGCAAGGAAAAUUCCCAAAAAACAUUUUUGAUUUGCCAAGCCUCAAUCUCCUCAAUUUGUUAGACAACCAAUUGAGUGGACAAAUUCCAAGAUCACUGGGGAACCACUUGCAACUCACUCAUUUAGACUUGUCGUGGAACCAAUUGAGUGGACAAAUUCCAUUGUCAAUUCUAAACCUAACGCAGCUUGAAUACUUGAGAAUAGCUGGAAAUACAUUAGAAGGUUCCAUUCCAGAUGAGGUAACCGCUUUUCCUAAUCUAAUAUAUUUAGGCUUAUCUGACAAUUUAUUCAAUGGAACACUUCCGUCAUGGUUGUAUACUGCUCCCUCCUUAAAGAGAAUAAUUCUCUCUCAAAAUCAAUUCAGUGGGCAUAUCAAAGAAUUCCAAUCCAAAUCACUAGAAAUGAUAUUGUUAAAGAAUAAUAAACUCCAAGGUCCUCUUCCAUCUUCAAUAUUCCAACUUCUCAAUCUUACCUACCUCUCUUUACCAAAUAAUCUUAGUGGUGUCCGUGUCAUAGAGUUUAGCAUGUUCUCAAACCUUCCAAAUCUCAAAUAUCUUGACCUUUCAUAUAACAGCCUAUCCUUAACAUCUAAUUCUACUUCUAGUGUUAAUCAUAUAUUGCCUAAUCUUACUUUUGUCAUCUUGCAAUCUUAGUGAAUUCCCCCAAUUUUUAAAAGGGCUUAAAAGUUUGGAAAGGUUAGACCUCUCUUGCAACAAAAUUGAAGGCAAGAUUCCACAGUGGAUGCAAGAGGUGGGGAAUGUCUCUUUGACUUACUUAAACGUAUCUCACAACUCUUUGACAGAAGUUGAGUACUUUCCAUGGAAGAAUAUUGAAUUUCUUGACUUAAGCUCCAAUUUGAUCCGUGGAAAUCUUCCGAUUCCAGCUUCGACCAUCAAUGUCUUUUUGAUCUCAAAUAAUAGUUUCACUGGAGAGGUCUCUUCUUUAAUAUGCAAUGCCAGUUCUCUUCAAAUUCUUGAUUUGUCCCACAAUAACUUGAGUGGAACAAUUCCGCAAUGUUUUGGAAAUUUGAGCGACAGCCUUGAAUUCUUGAAUCUGAAGAAGAACAAGUUUUAUGGGACGAUUCCUACAACAUUUGCAAAGGGAUGCCAGUUGACCACUUUCAACUUAAAUGGAAAUUUGUUAGAAGGGCCUUUGACACCAUCCAUCCUUAAUUGUAAUGAUCUGGAAGUGCUAGAUCUUGGUAACAACAAGAUCAAUGAUACAUUUCCUCAUUGGUUGGGAAGUCUUCCACAGCUACAAGUUCUUGUUUUGAAGUCAAAUCAUAUGCAUGGUUCCUUGCGUAUCAAUAGCUCCAAGUCUAUCCCUUUUUUCUCAAAAAUCCAAAUUUUUGAUCUCUCAAGUAAUUAUUUUUCUGGACCCCUACCAGUGAGAUACAUCAACAGCUUCAAGGCUAUCAUAAAUCUAGAGAAGAUUGGUAGUACAGUGUCGUACAUGGGGGUGAAUGAUCCUCGUAGUGGCUUCUAUACCUAUUCCAUUGGAAUUGUUAUGAAAGGACAAUAUAUGGAAUUGGUGAAAAUUUUCACCAUGUGGAUGAUCAUUGAUCUAUCAAACAAUCAGUUUGAAGGGGGUAUUCCAAAGGUUAUUGGGAAGCUUACCUUACUGAAAGGGCUCAACCUUUCUCACAAUAACCUUAAUGGUGGUAUCCCCACCUCAAUAGGGAAUUUGACAAGUCUUGAAUGGUUGGACCUAUCUUCAAACAGGUUGUCUGGGACGAUUCCAAAUAGAUUGGCAGAUCUGCCAUUUCUUUCGUCCUUCAAUGUUUCUGAAAAUAAACUCCAUGGUCAGAUUCCUCAAGGAAAACAAUUCAACACAUUUGGAAAUGAUUCAUAUCAAGGGAAUAAGGGACUAUGUGGGUUUCCGGUCUCGAAAGGUUGCAACAUCAUUGAGCCAGCACCUCCAAAUGUGCUUGAAAAAGAUGGCUCAAAAUCAAACAUUACUUUUGGAUGGAAAGUGGUGUUGAUAGGUUAUGGAUGCGGAGUGGUGUUCGGAAUGUCCGUGGGAUAUGUUGUUUUCAAAACUGGUAAGCCGAAAUGGUUGGUGAAUUUGGUUGAAAUCCAACAUGAGAAGAAGCGAAGAAGAAAGUCAAAGGAUGGCAGUCACAGCAAUGGACGAAGAAGGAUCUAGUUAGUGGAAAUGGUGUUCAAGUGUUGAUGUUGUAUCUUCAUAAUUUCUUGUUUUGAAGUCUUUCAAUUUUUUUCCUAUGGUGAAAGGUUGCAUUGCCAUGCAUCUGUCUUUAUUAUUGGUACUAUUUGUAAGGGUUUGUUUUAAAUGUAACAUUUUAUAUGGUUCAACUAUUUAUGUCUUCUUUCAUGAGUUUCAUUUUUGAGUCUCAAUAAUCUCUGCAUUCAAGAUUUUGUCAGCUUAUUAAUUGGUGGAUCAAUAAUCUUCAUGCUCAUCUCAUCAUCUUUUUCUCGAGUUAAACACAGUCAAUACUAUAACAAUUUCUUCUAUGUGGAAAAUAAUUUGGCAUUCUGCAGAUGUCCACAAUGCUUGUGGAUUACUUUUGGUUGACAGCUAUACAUAUAAAGGAAGGAAACAAGACCAUGUCCAAAUUUCCAAAAAUUAGCCAUUGAUUUUUGAACAGUUAAACUUUCGUAUUCUAUUUUUUAAAAUUGUAAAUUCUCAAAUAAUGUAAAUUAGUCCUAAAACUCAAGUUUUGAAAUCUUUACAAUUUAACCCCUUAUAGUUUCAAACUUUACUAUUUUAUGCUCAACUUUCUAAAUUUUCAUAUUUCAUGAUCAUAUAAUUUAGUUACUACAUCAAUAUUUGAGAUUUCACUACUCAAACCCUUACUUCAUUUUGGUCCUUACUUCAAUUUUAUCAAAUUAAAUCAUUUUUCAAUUUGAAUGCAUUGAUGUGAAAUUGAGGGACCACUAAACAAUGUUGAUGAGAGUUUAGGCAAAAUUGGUGGAUCCGAUCUCCUUAGUUAUUUCUUUGUGGAAGUACCUGCUUUCACAAUGCAAACUUGGAUAGUUUGUGGUGGACGAUGAUGAAUCAUUUCAUAGUCAAACACAUAAUUUUUAAACACAAAAUUAACGAUAUAUUGAAAUCAUUAUUGAAAUUAUAAUCAAAAUUAAUACAUGUUCUUUUUAUUAGCUUAAGGGCGUAAAAACCCUUCAAAAUUUUCAAACAAAAAAAAUUUAAGUCCUUUUUUUUCUACUCAAUUGAGCACUUAAACUUUUAAAAUGUAUCAAAAAUAUCUUUACACUUCUUCAAAAAAAGCAAUUAAACCCCUAUUUUUUUUUCCACUCAAUUGGGUACUUGAACUUUCAUAAUGCAUAAAAAAACCUUAAUUUUUUUUUUCAAAGAAACAAUUAAGCCUCUAUUUUUUUCCCACUCAAUUGGGUACUUGAACUUUCAUAAUGCAUCAAAAAGGCCUUAAUUUUUUUUCAAAAAAGCAAUUAAGCCCUACUCUUAUUAAAAAUUAGAAAAAAAUCAUAAAAAUAAUAAAUUUUAGAAAAAAAUAUUAAAUUUUAAUAAAAUUUAAAAACUUAUUAAUAAUUUGAAUUUUUUUUAGAAAAAUAGUCAAAAAAUAAAAUUUUAUAAAAAUCAUAAAAAAAAUAAAAUCCAUCAAAAGUCCUUUUAAUAAUUAACUUUAACUAUUGAUCGUUAAAGUUAACGACGUCUAGUUUUUCAAUUAAAGUUAUUAUGUGUCGCAACUCAGCUUGAUAUGUAGCGAAAACAGAUAAAAGUAGGGGCUUAAUUGCUUUUUUUAAAAGUUUGAGGGUCUUUUUGAUGCAUUUUGAAAGUUCAAGUACCCAAUUGAGUGCCAAAAAAUAAAGUAGGGGCCUAAUUGCUUUUUUUGAAAAUGUUUGAGGGCCUUUUUGAUGUAUUUUGAAAGUUCAAGUACCCAAAUGAGUGCUUAAAAAGAACAGGGGUUUAGUUGCUAUUUUUGAAAAAGUUUGCACCCUUAAACCUCUUUUGUUUUUCUAAAUUAAAUUUAGAACCAACUUUGAGUAACGACUUGGAAAUUUAAUUAGCAAAAUAUCUUUCCAUGUAAAAAUUUCCCCUAUUUCUUGUUUGAAUCUAAAGCAAUACAAUAUUUUUUUUCCAAAAUUUUCAAAAUUUUCAAAAAAAAAAAUUAAGUCCCUCUUUUUUUUCCACUCAAUUGAGCACUUAAACUUUUAAAAUGUAUCAAAAAUAUCUUUACACUUCUUCAAAAAAAGCAAUUAAACCCCUUUUUUUCCGCUCAAUUGGGUAUUUAAAUUUUUAAUAUUUGAUUUUUUAUUAAAAUUUAAUAAUAUUAUAGAUUUUAUUGAUUUUAAUUUUUUUCUAAUUUGUAAUAAAAGUAGGGGCUUAAUUGUUUUUUUUUUUUUAAGUUUGAGGGUCUUUUUUAUGCAUUUUGAAAGUUCAAGUACCCAAUUGAGUGCCAAAAAAUAAAGACUUGGGAAAUUUAAUUAGCAAAAUUUCUUUCCAUCUAAAAAUUUCCCCUAUUUCUUGUUUGAAUUUAAAGCAAUACAAUAUUUUUCUAGCAAGUAAUAGAAAAUGACAGUCAAUUCAUUCCAAGCAAUACAAAAUUUCCAGUCUGGUGGAAAAUUUGUUUCUUAGAUGCUAUUAUUCAGCUUUUAAGGCAUAAGUUUGAAUAUAGGGACUACAUUUUUAAUGUGUUGUUUAUUUUAAAAUCUAUUAAUAUAUACACACCUAGGGACCAUAUAUAUAUAUAUAUAUAUAUAUAUAUUCCAGUCUGGGUCUUUGUCGUGUUUUGUUGGUUGGCUAUGGCCUUCUUGUUGUUUCAUGGCCACUGCCUGUGAAUUAAGUCAUAUGUGGCCUUGUUUGCUAAGUUAAAGGGAGUGAAUAGAGCACCAUAUUUCUUCUUCUGCGUGGAAAAUAAGUUGGCAUUAUGCCGAAUUCCACAUUCAUACAUAGAAAGGAAGCAAGACCAAGUCAAUAUACCUUGUAAUCUCAUCAAUUCUAAUUAUUUCACUUCUUCUUUCUUUAGGGAGUUCAAGUGAAAUACAAAUUUUUCCACAUCCAAUCUCAUAAAUAAUCCGUCUUUGAACUUUCACAAAAAAAUAUUAAAUACCCAUUCACUUUAAUUCUACUAUUCUUAAAUCAAUAAAGUUUUGUGCAAAAUAAAUGAAUAUAGGCCACACAUGCUUUGAAUUUUUAAGUAGUCCACAAUUUUGUUCGUUUGUGUGCAAAAUUCUACAUUGCUUGACAGCCAUACAUACUAAGUAAAUAGACACCCACAUUGUUUACGUAUUAUGAGGAAGAAGACUAAGUCAAUCUACUUUGUAAUCUCAUCAAUCUUAAUUUUCUCAGUUGUUUAGGGAGUUCAAAUGAAAUACAAAAUUUUGAAAAAAAAAUGUAUCCAAUUUUGUGAAUGAAAAAUUUAUGGUAAAAAGGAUUUGGUAUGGAUACUUUGGCCCGGGUAGCAAUACUCAGGGUAAGUUUAUCAAUACAUUGCUUUUGGUUGGAAAGUGGUGUUGAUAGGUUAUGGAUGCGGGGUAGUGUUUGGAAUGGCCAUGGGAUGUGUUGUUUUCCAAACCGGUAAGGCGAAAAGGUUUGUGAAUUUGGUUGAAGACCAACAUGAGAAGAGGCGAAGAAGAAAGCCAAAAUAUAGCACUCGCAUCAAUGGAUGAAGAAGGAUCUAGUUGGUGCAAAUGAAGUUAAAGCAUUUGUGCUUUGUCUUCAUGAUUUCUUAUCUGAAUAAUCUCUGCAUUCAAGAUUUUGUCGGUAAAAAGCAUAAUUAAAGUCAUUAUGUGUCGCAAUUCAACAUGACAUGUAGCGAAAACAGAUAAAAAAGUAAAAAUCAAUAAAAGUUAUAGAAAAAUUAUAAAAUAUUUCUUUUGGUACAAUAAUUUUUAUAAAUUUUUUUUUACAAAAUUUAUAUUUCUUUACAUUUUGUAUAAUUUUCUUAUGACUAUAAAAUUUUAUAAUUUUUUAUAUUUCUAUAUAUUUUAAAAUUUUUAAAAUUUUUAUAAAAUUUCACAAUUUUUAUAAAAUUUCACAAUUUUUAUAUAUUUUUUAAUAAAUUUUUAAGAUUUGAAUUUUUAUUAAAAUUUAAUAAUAUUAUUGAUUUUAAUUUUUCUCUAAUUUUUAAUAAAAGUAGGGACUUAAUUGGUUUUUUUUAUUAAGUUUGAGGGUGUUUUUGAUGCAUUUUGAAAGUUUAAGUACCCAAUUGAGUGCAAAAAAAAGGAGGGGCUUAAUUGCUUUUUUUGAAAAUGUUUGAGGGCCUUUUUGAUGUAUUUUGAAAGUUCAAGUUCUCAAAUGAGUUUUAAAAAAAAGAACAGGGGUUUAGUUGCUAUUUUUGAAAAAGUUUGAGGGUUUUUUGCACCCUUAAACCUCUUUUCUUUUUCUAAAUUUAAUUUAGAACCAACUUUGAGUAAAGACUUGGGGAAUUGAAUUAGCAAAAUUUCUUUCCAUGAAAAAAUUUUCCCCUAUUUCUUGUCUGAAUUUAAAGCAACACAAUAUUUUUCUAGCAAGUAAUAGAAAAUGACAGUCAAUUAAUUCCAAGCAUUAAUUGACACAAGGGCCUUCAUGGUACUUUUACUCCGAAAGUACGUGGCUUUUCUUUUACACAGGGAUUUGCUUCAAUUUUUUUUGUCAACUCAACAUUCAUUCAUCAACUUUUCUUUUUCAAUUGAACAUUUCAACAUCCCUUAUCCGUCCCGAUGUCUGUAUGGAUAGUAGAUGUUAUUGGAACAUGGAAUUGGUAUUUUGCUUUCCAUGCAGCACCUUCUGAUGGUAAAAUGGCUGAAUACAAAGAAGAUGGGCUUUCCGUUGAUGUCAAAUUACCUGUUAAGCCUGUAUUAUCUAGAGAGCUUCAAGUAUGUGCUACAUCUUCAGCAACAUUUUUAUGUUAAAAUACAUUUUGCACAGAAUGAUAUUAAAAGACUAAUUUGGUUGUCAUGCAGCUUUACUUUGACAAGAUCGUGGACAUUACCAUGAAUAAAUCAGUCUCAGUUCUCUUUCAACAAGCAUUACUGAGUUUGGCAACAGACUCGGGAUUACAUCCUUUAGUUCCUUAUUUUACAUAUUUCAUUGCGGAUGAGGUUGUUUUAAAGAUCUUUCAUACCUCAUUAUAUAUGUGUGUUGCAAAGAACUUUUGGUUGGUUAUCUCAAGCUUACAAUUUUGCCACAUUUUUGAAUAAUUUCCCUCUCAUGUUUGCUUUGAUGCGUGUUGCCCGGAGUCUUCUCCAGAAUGAACACUUACACAUAGAACCUUACGUGAGUUUAUUAUUUCAAUCAUUUAGAAGUACACGAACUAAUGCAAAUAUGCUAGUGGUUAUUUUCCACCUAUCUGAUUUUUUAAAAUGUUCUUCAGUUACACCAGUUGAUGCCAUCUAUUAUUACCUGCCUCGUUGCAAAAAGGUUAGGAAAUAAAUUCACCGACAAUCAUUGGGGACUUAGAAACUUCGCAGCAAAGCUAGUGGCAUCAAUAUGCAAAAGGUGAAGAUUUCUUUUCUUUUGGACUUAUACAUGCAUAUUCUUUUGGACUUAAUUUCGAGCAUAAUGAUUUGUAUAAACUUUCCAAUAGCUUGGAAAGCGAAAAAAAAAACAAAAAAAAGAAGGAAAAAAAAGAAAAAAAGAAGAAAUAAAAAAAGAAAAUAAAAGAAAAAUAAUACUCCUCUGAUAUUAAUGUUAAGAGUGAAAAUUGGGGUUGUACACCGGACAAAGUAACCGGAAUAUGGUGCUUGGGUUGUCAUCAUGUCUCGCGUAAAAAGGUCUGUGUGACUGCCCAAUUUCUUUGCACUCACUCCACUAACUAAGUAUCACGAGUAGGGCGAAAUAACCCGCUUAGAGACAUUUGAAUUGAGUAACCGGAACAUGGUGCUUGGUUUGUCAUCAUGUCUCGCGUCAAAAAAUUUGAAAAUGUCCUAAGUACAAAAAUAAAUAAAAUGAGGGGCACUCUUCCUUAUUUCUUAAGCUAGGUUAAUAUGUAAUGACUAAAUUGUUGAAUUGUGCAAACCAUGGGGGUCAAGUCCUAUUAUGGAGGAAAUUUUUUUCCUUUUGCAGAUACAUGCAUAAUGCUCGAGGACUAGCAUGGACUAAGUAGGGGGAUUUGAUUAAAUGCUAAAGUUACAUAUUUUAUGUAAUUAAAUUGGUUAAUUUAUGAGAGUGCACCACUAAUUUUUCCAUGUUUAUAUUGAAUUUUGUGCAGGGAUGCAAUUUUGGGCUAAAUAGAAAAAAAAGGAAACAAUUGGGCUAGAUUGAAGAAAGAAGCAAAGAAGGAGGGCCAAAGUAGAAUUUUUCCGAAAUUAAUUAGCUGAAAUUUUUGUUGACUUAGUGGGAGAUUAUUUUGGGAUUUAUUUUAUAUCAUGGAAUAUUUUCCCUUGAUUUUCUAUGUUGGUGGCUCUUAAUUUAGUAAGGCCAUUAGUAUAAAUAGAUGCUAUAUUGUUCAUUUUAAGUAUCAAUCAAAAUAUUAAGCUUUCAUCUCUCAAUACAUUUUCUCUUUUCCUGUCACGAAUUCAUUUGCUGCCAUUAGUUUCUUUUCCUUCAAUUUAUUAAAUUUCAGUAGCCAACCACCUUUACUUUCAACUAUUCACGAAUUUAUUUAUUGCCUUUAGUUACCUUUACUUUCAAUUCCUAAAUUUCCAGCUUGUUACCACUUACCAUUUACAACUUCUUUUCCAAAUUCCCUUUUCAUUUCCAGUAGCCAGCCUCCCAUUUUACCUUAUUUUAUCCAAUAACCAACAUGCCCCAAACCUUAGUUAACUAAACCCAUUUUCAGCUUUAGGCCGGAAUUAGCCUCGUCAAAACCCGUGAGUUACGAACCCGAGCAAAUUAACUCCCAAAAUUCUAGUACUUAUUAUUUCUCCGGAUUAAGAGUAUGAUUUUGUCAACUCACAAAGUCAGACUAACAUUAGUCAAAAAAGACGUCGUCUGAUUUAGUGUGGUUAGACGUAUAGUUGGAAUUUCAAAAGGAACGUUUCUAAUCAGUUUUCUGUGAACACAUUGGCGUGCCAAGUGGAGAUUGUUGUUUGGUUCCGUCAAGGGAAGUAGUAAUCGGAUUUAAAUGUCCCACGCGGUUGAGGACAUUGGUUCGAGCUAGGCUCUUCUAGAACACAAAGCUGUUGGAGUUCUAAAUCACGAACGUUUCGUGGUUGUUCGAUCGGUAAGGGUUAGUUAUUGGACGUUCCAUACUAAUUUACACAAUGAAGAGUUGGUGUCCGAGGCGUCCUUGGUAGCUAUAACUAGCUUAUUGGAAAAGAGGAGUUCAUCUAAUUUCGAGGAUCGGUUCAAAGACGAGGAAAAACCCGUGCCUAAAGCUGAGCUUAUUCUAAUUAAUUUUUCUUCAUAUUUAUUUAACUGAUUUUAUUAUUUUAUUUUCAGCCUUUACUUUUCACGCAUUUUUUCCCUGUUUAGUCUAGGUUCCAGAUUUUCAACUUUAUUCUCCCCCCGAACUUCUUGGGCACGACAACUGCCCUGACAAAAAUUUGGUCGAGAAAGAGAAACAAUUCGCAGUAAACCCAGUCUCUGAGGGAUCAACCGUACUCCCUAUACUGCUUAAAUUGCAAAUUAGGCGUAGGUUUAUAUUGGUGGAUUCGACAUCCAUCACUUUUCUUUUGGACUUGUACAUGCAUAUUCGUUGUUAUGAAUUUCAGGUGUCUGAUUUUUUAGUUAUAAACUUGGAUCUAUUCUUCAAAUCAUGUGUAUAUAAUUUUUAUGCUAUUUCACACAUGCAAAACAAAUGGUGCGAGCGUGCAUCUGUAAAGUUUGUCUUUCAUAUGUUUGGCUAAUGCUUCUUCUUCCAUAUGUAGGUUCGUUUACUUAUACUACCAAAUCUUGAAGCGUAUUUGUAGCUUCUUGAACCUGAAAUAAAAAGACACGAGGCCUGGUGUGUUUAUGGGGCCCUGCUGGUAAGUUUAACAUCAAAUUUGGUACCAGUUAAUGAGCAUCGUUUCAUUUAUUUGCUGUAGAACUAACAACACUACAUAAAAUUUCCACUAACAGCGUGUAGCUGGACUGUGCAUGUAUGAUCGGCUUAAAAUGUUCCCCAGUUUGCUAGCACCCCAACUCGUCCCGUCUGGAAAAGUAACAACAAAGUUGCGACAAAUAUGAUUUCUUCGAACCAUCAUAUUUACACUUAAUCCACAAGUCUCUUCUCCCCCUUUACGAUAUUCCUUUUUCUGAUCAAUCAAGAUAAACGAAAAGCAAGCACUGGCACCUUGAUGCAGCAGCAACCACCUGCCAAGAAAAUAGCAACUGAGAGUGCAAUAGGUAUGAUGCCAAUAAAUUCCAUGCAAACUGAUUUACAAGGGGCAGUUAGCGGCUUUUCUACCACCAUAGGAGGUUCCAAUAUUGGUGUAUCAUCAAUGUCACGGCCGUUAUCAAAUGAUAACAUGCUUGGAAGGGAGGUUGGGGGUCGGUUUCAAAGACAUCAACCGUUCUAGCUCAGGCUUGGAAGGAAGACACAGACCCAGGGAACUUGUUAGCAUCAUUAUUUGAACUUUUUGGUGAAAGUAUGUUAUCAUUUACUCCCAAACCUGAACUUUCAUUCUUCCUUUGAUUAAAUUUCACCUCCAAAAGCUAUGGUUUUUGAAGGAAUUUGUGUAAAUUAUCCCCAUAGUUUUUUUCAGUCUUACUGUGUUUAUCUUUAUAAGUCUUCUUUUUUU
rnacentral:lncRNA from 1 species